rnacentral:rRNA from 1 species
AUUGAACGCUGGCGGCAUGCUUUACACAUGCAAGUCGAGCGGCAGCGCGGGGGCAACCCUGGCGGCGAGCGGCGAACGGGUGAGUAAUGCAUCGGAACGUACCCUGGAGUGGGGGAUAACGCCGCGAAAGCGGCGCUAAUACCGCAUAUGCUCUGAGGAGGAAAGUGGGGGACCGCAAGGCCUCACGCUCUGGGAGCGGCCGAUGUCCGAUUAGCUAGUUGGUGAGGUAAAGGCUUACCAAGGCGACGAUCGGUAGCUGGUCUGAGAGGAUGAUCAGCCACACUGGGACUGAGACACGGCCCAGACUCCUACGGGAGGCAGCAGUGGGGAAUUUUGGACAAUGGGGGCAACCCUGAUCCAGCCAUGCCGCGUGAGUGAUGAAGGCCCUAGGGUUGUAAAGCUCUUUUGUGCGGGAAGAUAAUGACGGUACCGCAAGAAUAAGCCCCGGCUAACUUCGUGCCAGCAGCCGCGGUAAU